GACGAACGCUGGCGGCGUGCCUAACACAUGCAAGUCGAGCGGAGAUAAGAUGAAGAUUUAUCGGAUUCUUAUUUUAGCUGCGGACGGGUGAGUAACGCGUGAGAAACCUGCCCUAUACAGGGGGAUAACACACCGAAAGGUGCGCUAAUACCGCAUACAGUUAUUGGAUCGCAUGGUCUGAUAACCAAAGGAGCAACCCGGUGUAAGAUGGUCUCGCGUCUGUAUAGCUAGUUGGUGGGGUGAAGGCCUACCAAGGCGACGAUCAGUAGCCGACCUGAGAGGGUGAUCGGCCACAUUGGGACUGAGACACGGCCCAGACUCCUACGGGAGGCAGCAGUGGGGAAUAUUGCGCAAUGGGGGAAACCCUGACGCAGCAACGCCGCGUGAAGGAUGAAGGUCUUCGGAUCGUAAACUUCUUUGAUUGGGGAAGAUAAUGACGGUACCCAAAAAACAAGCCACGGCUAACUACGUGCCAGCAGCCGCGGUAAAAC
rnacentral:rRNA from 1 species